UACGUAGGCAGCAAGCGUUGUUCGGAAUUACUGGGCGUAAGGAGUGUGUAGGCGGUGCUCUAAGUUCGGUGUGAAAUCUCCCGGCUCAACUGGGAGGGUGCGCCGAAAACUGGAGUGCUGGAGCGCGGGAGAGGAAAGCGGAAUUCCUGGUGUAGCGGUGAAAUGCGUAGAUAUCAGGAGGAACACCGGCGGUGUAGACGGCUUUCUGGACCGUAGCUGACGCUGAGACACGAAAGCGUGGGUAGCAAACAGG
rnacentral:rRNA from 1 species